CUCGGCGGUCGCGGCUACACAUCCGCCAGCCAGCUGACCCACAUAAGAGCGUCACAGCAAUCUUCCUAGGUGUCUGUUCAAAUCGCCAGUGCCAAGAUGAUGAUGAACUUCCGUGUUGUGUUGAUGGCCAUCGUGGUGGUUGUCACUCUCACCACGACUCACGCCCUGCCCAUGAUGUUCAGCCCGACAGUGUCUCGGCCGAGCCCAUGCUCCAUCGUCUCCAACUUGCUUGAUGCUGAUGUGGCCAGUGUCUUCGAGGGGGACAUCUACCUCGCAGAGUCAUUUUGUGUUUGAGCCGGAGUUGAAACAGAACUCAUGAAAGUUAAUGAUUCAACUCGUUUUAUCAUUCAGGGUGAGUCGCCUAGUUCGAAUCAGACCUGGUCUUUCACCAUGUCGAUAGGCUAUGUUGACUGACUCACUAGAACUGUUACUAACUGGGAGAAGAAUCCGAUGGAUUGUCUCCAGUGUAACUUUAUUCAACAGUGGGUGGCGGAAUGAAGAUGCCGAAGCCGUGAGAAGUCGCUGCGUACGAGUCUCAUGACUGGCAUCUGGAAGCAUUACAUGAACGCUGUAGAGCUGCCAAAAGUGUUGCCGCAGUUUGCCAGCUGACAGUGUUUGUAAGAUCAUCAAUACAUGAAAUGUUGCAUACACUGGAUAUACAUGAUUACACUCGUGUAUCCUGAUUGACUAUAAUAAAAAUAAAGAAGUGCUAUAUAAAUGCAAUUCAAAAGAA